rnacentral:rRNA from 1 species
GUAGGGAAUCUUGCACAAUGGGCGCAAGCCUGAUGCAGCAACGCCGCGUGGGGGAUGAAGGCCCUCGGGUUGUAAACCCCUUUCAGCAGGGACGAAACUGACGGUACCUGCAGAAGAAGCUCCGGCCAACUACGUGCCAGCAGCCGCGGUAACACGUAGGGGGCGAGCGUUGUCCGGAUUUAUUGGGCGUAAAGAGCUCGUAGGCGGCUCAGUUAGUCGGGUGUGAAACCCCCGGGCUCAACCCGGGGACGCCACCCGAUACUGCUGUGGCUAGAGUCCGGUAGGGGAGCGUGGAAUUCCUGGUGUAGCGGUGAAAUGCGCAGAUAUCAGGAGGAACACCAGCGGCGAAGGCGGCGCUCUGGGCCGGUACUGACGCUGAGGAGCGAAAGCGUGGGGAGCGAACAGGAUUAGAAACCCGAGUAGUCC